rnacentral:rRNA from 1 species
GAUGAACGCUAGCGGCAGGCCUAAUACAUGCAAGUCGAACGGUGUAGCAAUACACAGUGGCGCACGGGUGCGUAACACGUAUGCAACCUACCUUACAUUGGGGGAUAGCCUUUCGAAAGGGAGAUUAUUACCGCAUAAGACAGUAACUAGGCAUCUAGUAGCUGUUAAAGAUUUAUCGAUGUAAGCUGGGCAUGCGUCCAAUUAGUUAGUUGGCGAGGUAAUGGCUCACCAAGACGAUGAUUGGUAGGGGAACUGAGAGGUCAAUCCCCCACACUGGCACUGGGAUACGGGCCAGACUCCUACGGGAGGCAGCAGUAGGGAAUAUUGGGCAAUGGGCGCAAGCCUGACCCAGCCAUGCCGCGUGCAGGAAGAAGGCGUUAUGCGUUGUAAACUGCUUUUAUACAGGAAGAAACGACCCUUGCGAGGGGCAUUGACGGUACUGUAUGAAUAAGCACCGGCUAACUCCGUGCCAGCCGCCGCGGUAACAC